rnacentral:rRNA from 1 species
AUUGAACGCUGGCGGCAGGCCUAACACAUGCAAGUCGAACGGUAACAGAAAGCAGCUUGCUGCUUUGCUGACGAGUGGCGGACGGGUGAGUAAUGUCUGGGAAACUGCCUGAUGGAGGGGGAUAACUACUGGAAACGGUAGCUAAUACCGCAUAACGUCGCAAGACCAAAGAGGGGGACCUUCGGGCCUCUUGCCAUCGGCUUUGCCCAGAUGGGAUUAGCUAGUAGGUGGGGUAACGGCUCACCUAGGCGACGAUCCCUAGCUGGUCUGAGAGGAUGACCAGCCACACUGGAACUGAGACACGGUCCAGACUCCUACGGGAGGCAGCAGUGGGGAAUAUUGCACAAUGGGCGCAAGCCUGAUGCAGCCAUGCCGCGUGUAUGAAGAAGGCCUUCGGGUUGUAAAGUACUUUCAGCGGGGAGGAAGGGAGUAAAGUUAAUACCUGUGCUCAUUGACGUUACCCGCAGAAGAAGCACCGGCUAACUCCGUG